rfam:TPA: Bos taurus chromosome 2, whole genome shotgun sequence.
UUCUUGGUGUCUCAGAUAGUAAAGAAUCUGCCUUCAAUGCAGGAGACCUGGGUUCAACCCCUGGUUUGGGAA